GCUUUUCUGGCAUAGCGCAGGUGUUCCAGGAUUCGCUGCGCGGGCAGGGCGUGCUGAUCCUCGCCGCCGUGUUCGCCGCGUUCGUCAUUCUCGGAAUUCUCUACGAGAGCUUCAUCCAUCCGAUCACGAUCAUCUCGGGCCUGCCGUCAGCGGGUAUCGGCGCGAUCCUGACGCUGAUGCUANNNNNNNNNNNCGGUGAUCGCCAUGAUCGGCAUCGUCAUGCUGGUCGGCAUCGUGAAGAAGAACGCCAUCAU
rnacentral:misc_RNA from 1 species